GACGAAGGAUGCAAGCGUUAUCCGGAUUCAUUGGGUUUAAAGGGAGCGUAGGUGGCCUUAUAAGUCAGUGGUGAAAUCUCUGGGCUUAACCCAGAAAUUGCCAUUGAUACUGUAGGGCUUGAGUAUAGUUGCCGUUGGCGGAAUAUGACAUGUAGUGGUGAAAUACAUAGAGAUGUCAUAGAACACCGAUUGCGAAGGCAGCUGACGAAACUAUAACUGACACUGAGGCGCGAAAGUGCGGGGAUCAAACAGG
rnacentral:rRNA from 1 species